GACGAACCGUGCGAACGUUAUUCGGAAUCACUGGGCUUAAAGCGCGUGUAGGCGGGACGGCACGUCUGUCGCUGAAAUCCCCCGGCUUAACCGGGGAACUGGCGUAGAUACGACCGUCCUGGAGGGGCGUAGGGGGACCUGGAACUUCCGGUGGAGCGGUGAAAUGCGUUGAGAUCGGAAGGAACGCCCGUGGCGAAAGCGAGGUCCUGGACGCCUACUGACGCUGAGACGCGAAAGCUAGGGGAGCAAACAGG
rnacentral:rRNA from 1 species